rnacentral:lncRNA from 10 species
GCGGUGUCCCCCGGGUCUGUGCUGAGCAGAAUGCAGCUCCGCCCUCGCGGUGCCCCCGGCCCGCCCGGGUCUGUGCCAAGGAGAACACUGCUCCGCCUUCGCUGUAUCUCCGAAGUCUGUGCACAGGAGAACUCAGCUCCGCCCUCGCGAUGCUCUCCGAGUCUGUGCUGAGCACAACGCAGCUCCGCCCUCGCAAAGGCACAGCGCGGGCGCAGGCGCCCAGAGGCGCACAGGAGACCUCAGGCCCAGACUCCACUCCCCAGCUGUGAAAGGACUGCUGGCCAGACCCCCAAGCUAGCCCGCCAGGCCUCCAUAGAGCUGCCCAGCAUGGCUGCAUCCAGUACCAAGAGUUGGUGGGAGACGGGUGAGGUACAGGCUCAGUCUGCGGCCAAGACUCCGUCCUGCAAGACUCUUUGGCAGUUGCACUGGGUACUGGCUGAGUUCUGGAAAACAGGAAUGUGAGCAGAGUGCUGCAGAUCUCCUUGUCAGGAGCACCUAAGAACUGGCAUGACUCUACACCCUCUCUCCUUCUGCAAUGACCUCGUGUCAAGAUGGCAGACCCGCAGAGAUGAAUGUGCCUGGAUACCUGAGUCACCAGGUGGAGGAAACUCCCAUUGACAUGCAUCACACUCCACAUAUGAAACCCUUCUUUUUCUGCACUGUCACUGGGGUUAGGGAUUAUUACUCACUGCAACUUAGCCUAGCAUUAAGUUGCUUGACUAAUACAAGUUUCAAUAAAUGUCGCUUCAUUUCCCAUGGCUUCUGACUGAAUGCUGUGCAAUAUCCACAAACCAUCCAGAUUGUGGUUUAUAAAUACCACCCUUCACUAAAAGGACUCAGAGCUCCUUGUAGAAAUGGCUGAUGCUAAGGCUGGGGUAGGGAAGUACAAGGUGAGCCCAGAGUGCUGUGUGGUGCCAGAAAGCAAGGAAGCAUUUAAAAAAUGACAGGGACAUGUCAAAGGACACAUCAAUCAACUUCAAGGGGCUUCCACUGGCCAAAUCUAGGAUGAUGUGAGCAUCCAAAUUAAUAAUGAUAAUGGUAGAUUAUAGUCUAUUGAAUAAAAUGGGAACCUAUAGCUAUAGAAAGAAAGAAAAGGGAAGGAAGAAAAGAAAGAAGAAGAGAGGGAGGGAGGGAGAGAGGGAGGGAGGGACGGAGGGAGGGAAGAAGGAAGAAGACUUUCUUACAGUAGAAUGCCAAUGAAUAAAUACAGAGGGAAUAAUAGAAAACUCCAUUUGCAAACAUGAUCAUAAUAGUUUAUUCAAGGAAGAAUCAUCACUGAGUGAAAAUUUAGGAAGGUAAAGUAUGUUUUCAUUGUCUCAUAGCACUUCCACUCAUAUGGUUUAUUAAUUGCAAAGAGAAAAAGUGGUAACUUAACAGUAGAGAAACCCAGCAGGUCCUCCCUUAAUGAGCUGAACAAAGUUAACAACACCAGGAAUAGGACAAAUGGGUGCCAAGUGUUUCUUGAUGUGAUACACUGAGAACACAGCAUUGCUUCUGUAGCAUUCCGGUCCCUGGAGGAAACAUCAGACAAACACAGAUGGAGGGACCUUCAAGGACUGACCUGAACUGUUCUUCGGCGUCAACCCCAUGAUAGACAAAAAGAGGCAGAGGAACUGUUCCAGAUUAAGGGAGACUAAAAAGAAGUGGACCACAGGACAGUCCCUACUGUAAACUCUUUCAAGUAUCAGGCAAAAAGGAACAAAAGGCCCCAGCCUGGCUUAAACCAACCUUGAGUCAUCACCUGACACUGGACACUUUGUUUAUCCAAGCAAAAUCAGGAUUUUCUGUUAGCAAGCAAAGGAACUGCUCAUGGGUAAGAAAUUAACAGUGUGUGCCAUAAUUCAUAUUUGUCGCCAAGCAUCUUCUCAGGCUGACACUGUGCCAAACAAGGGAUUAUAGAGAUGAAGAUGCAGCUUCCAUCCCUGAAAGCUCACAGUCCAUUCUCUCAGGGCAAUCCCGGUAACCUCCUCAUCACAAUCAUCCAUCCAGAUCAUGGAAGUCCCUUUACUCCCCAAAUAAGAAGGAGUAGCAGGAAAAAGUGACCUCAUCAAGCUGACUCGAGUUUUUCCAAAAGCAAAUAAAUAAAUAAAUAACUUUUUAACCUGCACAGCCAAAUAUCAAAUAAAUACAUGUGUGUUUUUUGGGGGGGUUGGGGGGUGUUUUUUUUUCUGAGCUUCCUGUGGUAUUGAAACUAUCUCCCACUUCCUCCUUUUUGUCUCAAAAGAUCUUAAGCAUUGGGCCAGACACAGUGGCUCCUGCCUGUAAUCCCAGUACUUUGGGAGGCCGAGGUGGGCAGAUUGCUUUAGCCCAGGUGUUCGAGACGAGUCUGGGCAACGUAAAAAUAGCCCAUCUCUAAAAAAAUAAAAUAAAAUAAAAUACAAAAAUUAGCCAGGCAUAGAGGUGGAUGCAUGUAGUUCCAGCUACCUGGGAGGCUGAGGUGGGAGGAUCACUUGAGCCCCAGGGGUUGAGGCUGCAGUGAACCAUGAUCAUCACAUCUGGGCAACAGAGCAAGACCCUGUCUCAAAAAAAAAAAAAAAAAAAAUCUAAGCAUCCAUUCAUUUUAGUUCAUUUGAGGAUAAUUAUUGAUCUCCUCUUCUACCACCACUAGGGAUACAGAGGAGGAGCAAACAGACAUUAUUCCUUUCUCUUGAGGCUCACAGUUAAUUGGUAAAGAGGGACCACUAUUCAGAAAGUCCCACACAUCAUUGUAUGAUCAAAAGCUAUGACAGAUGCAAGGAAGGAAAGCUGGAUGGUGUUGUGAGGCUUCAUGGCAGGGACACCAGACCUGGUCUAGAGGUGAGGGAAGACUUCCCUGAGGCACUGGCUUGAAUGGAGAGCUGAAGGAGGAAUAGGAAUUC